GACGAACGCUGGCGGCGUGCUAACACCUGCCCGUCGAACGGAAAGGCCCUGCUUUUGUGGGGUGCUCGAGUGGCGAACGGGUGAGUAACACGUGAGUAACCUGCCCUUGACUUUGGGAUAACUUCAGGAAACUGGGGCUAAUACCGGAUAGGAGCUCCUGCUGCAUGGUGGGGGUUGGAAAGUUUCGGCGGUUGGGGAUGGACUCGCGGCUUAUCAGCUUGUUGGUGGGGUAGUGGCUUACCAAGGCUUUGACGGGUAGCCGGCCUGAGAGGGUGACCGGCCACAUUGGGACUGAGAUACGGCCCAGACUCCUACGGGAGGCAGCAGUGGGGAAUAUUGCACAAUGGGCGGAAGCCUGAUGCAGCAACGCCGCGUGCGGGAUGACGGCCUUCGGGUUGUAAACCGCUUUCGCCUGUGACGAAGCGUGAGUGACGGUAAUGGGUAAAGAAGCACCGGCUAACUACGUG
rnacentral:rRNA from 1 species